UCAGCUUCUCGGUCUUUUGGCUAAGAUCAAGUGUAGUAUCUGUUCCUAUCAGUUUAAUACUUUCAUUUCUGAGUGCUAUCACAGAACUCCUCAUACAAGAGCUGUGCUUGCAUUUUUCAGAUCUAGCUUUCUCUCUCUCUACAGAAAAGGCAAGUCUGAAACUU
rnacentral:snRNA from 1 species